rnacentral:rRNA from 1 species
AUGUCGGACGCUUUUAGACCCAUCUCGCUUCAAAGUUGCCCAGUUAAAGCCAUCACUAAACUUCUCGCUAGUCAUCUAAAAAAGUCUGCUCCUCUACUGGUACAUCCGGAUCAGACCGGCUCUUUAUCAGGUCGCACUAUCUCUGAAAAUUUUCUUUACGCGAGUAUCAUUCUACAUGUUUGUGCUAGAAAAAAGACUCCCACCAUGGUCAUUAAGCUUGAUUUCUCUAAGGCGUUUGACUCUAUAUGCCGGCCUUCCCUACUUGCUAUUCUGGCUGCUCGGGGCUUUUCGAACAAGUGGAUUGGCUGGAUCAACUUCCUCCUUACUACUGGUAAAAUGGUUAUCCUCCUCAAUGGAGUGCCUGGCCCUUGGACCGAUUGCAAAAAUGGCUUACGUUAGGGGGAUCCCCUCUGCCCCUUCCUAUUCAUAAUAGUCACAGAUGUCCUCCGAAGAAUGAUCAUAAAAGCUUGUGAUCAGAAUGUACUCGCCCACCCUAUCUCUCCUACACUCCCUUGCCCGGUCCUACAAUAUGCAGAUGACACACUAAUCAUAAUUAAGGCAGAUGCUUCAGCCGCCGCAAAUCUCAAACGUAUCCUAGACGAUUUUUCUAGUGCCACAGGGCUCUCCAUUAAUUUCUCCAAAACCACGUUUGCCCCCCUAAACAUUGAGCCAGACCUCACCGCCUCUUUGGCCGAGACAGUGGCCACCUCAGUUGCCACCUUCCCACAAAAAUACCUUGGACUUCCCCUCUCUCUGCGUAAACUCCCUCCCUCUGCGUUUUAA